rnacentral:rRNA from 1 species
AUGGAGUUCUUGAUGCAGCCGGUGAACAGUAGAACGCUGAUAGAGGAAGUGAAUGACAGCGACUUCCUAAUGGAGCCUCUUCGCUAUCCCGUUCUGUCGAGGCCGGGCGAGGAGUUGCCGGCGGCGAGUGCAUCAAGUGCAGAUGCGCUCAUCUGCUCGCCGACUGCUCUGGAAACAGGAAAGGGUGCAGACCGGCCACAAGCUUCUGAAAACUCAAUAGAACAAGUUGAUCCGCAGGCUCCGGGAUGGACACGAAGGGUCCGGAUUGUAGCUGCUGCACCAGGGCGUGCCCCCAACCCAGACAGGAUGACAGCACUGGAGAAAUCGGUGCGCGUGUUUGCGGAGGCACCCGGUGACAAUGUCAUUGUGCCAAAAAUAGGGAUCAGCUUCGAUACACUUGGAGAGGCAUACGAUUUUUACAAUUUGUACUCAUGGGAGAAAGGAUUUGGUAUCAGAUAUGGGAAGAUCAGACUCAAUGUCAACAGGACAAAGUGCAUGCAAGAGAUAGUCUGCGGCUGUGCGGGUAAACCGAUCGUGGAGAAUACUCGUUCAUGCAGAUGUGAAUGUCCUGCUUUAGUUAGGCUGCUGCGGUCGAAGGAUAAUGGGUGGUAUAUAGCAGAGCACCGCGACGAGCACAACCACUCAUUGUCUCCGACAUAUGGGCAGACAUUGCACUGGCCAUCGCACAAACAUAUCGACGUCUACAGCAGAGAUUUGGUGAAGCAGCUGCGGGAAAAUAAUGUCAACUUGUCGAAAGUUUAUAGCAUCAUUGGAAGCUUUUUCGGUAAGAUGGAGAAUGUACCGUUCACAAAAAGAGCAUUGCGGAACUUGUGUGGAAAGAUUGGUCGUGACCAGGCAGAGGAUGACGUCCGGAAGACAAUGGAGGUGUUCCAAGAGCUAGGUGCGAAGGAUCAGCAAUUCACAUACAGAGUGCAAGCCGACAAGGAGGGGAGGAUUAGUACCCUCAUGUGGGCAAAUGGGAACAGCAGGCUCCAGUACACUUUCUUCGGUGACGUGGUGACAUUUGAUACAACUUACAGGACCAACUUGUAUGCACUGGCGGAGCUUCAGCCAGGCCAAAUGGGCCAUGGCCCGCCCAGCACAUAG